UACAGAGGUCCCAAGCGUUGUUCGGAUUCAUUGGGCGUAAAGGGUGCGUAGGCGGCGCGGUAAGUCGGGUGUGAAAUCUCGGGGCUUAACUCCGAAACUGCAUUCGAUACUGCCGUGCUUGAGGACUGGAGAGGAGUGAGUUAACUGUGGUAGCGUGAAAUGCGUAGAGAUCAUAGGAAGACCAGUGGCGAAGGCGGGGUCUCUGGACAGUUCCUGACACUGAGACACGAAGGCCAGGGGGAGCAAACGGG
rnacentral:rRNA from 1 species